rnacentral:lncRNA from 1 species
AUGUUUUUUCCUUCCAGCAUAACAAGAGUUUUAUAUUAUGAAAUACAAGCUGUAACAUCAAUUGCUGAUGAUGCUAAAACUAUUAGUCACUGUCCUUUGAGCCUGACUUUAAGAACAAGUGGAAAAGUAUAUCAUCUAAAAUACCUAAAACAGAUGGAUUUUACUAAGGAAAUGGUUCAGCUGCAAACUGUCAUUUCUGUACAUCUCCAGGUAAUCUGUCACUCCGAAUGAAGUUCCCUGGAAUUAAAUUUCAGGAGUGUGCAGCUUUGUGGGUUUUCCUGACUUAAUAGCUAGUUCUGAACCCAUAUACUCAGCUACUUGCAUGUUGUGGAGGCAAAAUUUCUGGUCACUUUAUUUACAAAAAUUACUUGGAGGGAAAUAAGGCCAAAUUUCUCAUUCAUUUCUACCAUAACAUUUGUUUUUCUUGGCCUCUGAAAACUUUCCAAAAUGUAGUGUUACUCUUGCUUUAUUUUACUGGUUUGGUUUUACAAACUAGUUAUACCCUUAACGUGUAAGGAAGCUUCCGUCAAAAUUCAUGCAUGUAUGGCCAUUCAUCUCAGUGGAAGCUGGAUCAGAUUUUUUGCUGUAGACAUUGCAUAUGCUUAUUGAUUGUAGGGCAUGGCAGUGUUUCCUACAGUUAAUGUUGCCUAGUUCUUCCUAUCAGAAGAUUAAGCCUCUGUUGCUUAUUCUUAAUUCCUUUUACUGUACUGUUACAGUAGCCUAAUAUAGCCUAAUAUGUGAGGAGUUUAAAUAUUUUGGGUGUUUUUUAGGAUCAGUAGUGAAAUGUGGCUACUUAGAAAUGAUCUCCCUUUCUAUGGAGCAAAGGAGUUCUGCAAGUUGUUCUACAAGACUACAUAUUUCAGAUUUUUAUAGUGGAAUUAACAGCAGAAAUAGAGAUGGUUUUACAUGUAUUUUCUCCAUGAGCUGUUAAAAUAGAAUUCAGAAAUCCAGCACAUAAUCUACAUCCAUCAUAGACAACAUGCCUGAAAUUCUUUCAUUUGGUCUCUUCGGUAAAAGGCUGUUUCUUUUACAGGUGCAUCAUACUGAAAGAACUCAAAACUUGGACAAGAGUUAAUGCUACUAUGAAUGUAACUUGAAAAGUAGAGAGAUUUAGUGUUUUAANNNNNNNNNNNNNNNNNNNNNNNNNNNCCCAUUCCUGACUCUUUUUGAUGACAAAAGUCAGACAUGUUCUUGACACUGACAGUAAAUUUGUAGUACUGCAAGGCUUAUUUCCCAUUUUUAAUUAAUGAAGUCAGAGCAUACUGUGAUGCAUGUGACACAACUGGAAAUGACUGCUGUGAAUUGCCAGCUAGCAUCUUUUUGACCUAGCGGUCAGCUUGAAUCCUUAACUAUUGUGGCAUAAUAAAGUAAGAGACAGGACAGAGCUGGGAAGAACA